rnacentral:sRNA from 1 species
CUACCGAGGAGCAAUUUCGGUAGACUGACCGAGCAAGGGCCCCUCCUUCAAGUACUGGGCGUGCUUGGUUGGAGUUCUGAUGCGGCCGCGCACUUUGAAGGGAGAUGGAGAGGAUCAGGUAUUCAGAGCCACCCUUCCUGACGCUCCAAGUUUGAAUCCAACCGAGGCUACACAAGACUCUCCUUACAGGAGGAAGGGAUGCGUAAGAGAUACCGUCUAUUCCUUCCUGAGUAUGAGAAAUUCUUGGAAAACUGAAAGCCUACUGAAGAUAAAAGGUAACAUAAAAUAAUGCUUAAUCCCAAAGACACCAAUGACAGGACAGGAAAGUGACCUGACUUGCAUCGUGGGAAGCCCAGAAGACUCAAAUUGAAAUGAGGACACCAGGCAAUCUGAAUAUGGAGGUCAAAAUGGGGCAGUCACAAGACUACCUAUGAAGCAGAGAUCGCUAAGCACUUACUGCUGUACAACCGAGGAAGAGCUCUUGCCCAGAGUUACUCUAAGGACUGAGAGAGUAAAUAAAUGAUAGGUAAACUAUAAAGGAGGCACGGUAAACGGUGUGGCUAUCCUCCUCAAAAUAGCAAUUAAAGUUAAACAUAUGUACUGAGAGUUGAGCCCACAUAUGCUUGCCUUCCCUGCUUUACUCCAGAAAGGUGACAGCCUGGCUGGUAUCCUGGAAUAAGUGGACAGAAACCCUGAAUCUUAUGUACAAAAGAAAAAAAGAAAUUGAACACCAAUAUCUUAUGAAAGAAAAAGGAAAUCUAACACCAAUAUCAACAACUUCUCAGUAUGCCAACCCAGCCUAGUCAUAGUAUAUUAAAAUAAUAUAAUUUAAUAUAAUAAUAAUAAAUAAGCACAUUCUCCAUAACCCUUUGGACCACCCAGUCUAAAAAAGCAGUCAGCCAAGAAUUUGGAAAAGUCUUUAAUUGGAAAGGCAGCAAAACAAUGGAACAGUCAAAAGAGUUCUUAAGACUUUAGAAAUAUGAAGGCAGAAAAGAAAAAUUUAUUUGAAAAUAUGGUUGAAAUUAAGAGAUGUUGCCCACUGAUAGAGUGCUUAGCUAGCAUGCACAGGGCCCUAGGCUUAAACCUAUGCGUUAAUAGCUAAAAGGGGAAAGAGAGGGAAGAAGGAGUAGGAAGAAAGAGACAGGGAGGGAGGGACGGAGGGACGGAAAACAGCAUGACCACAAAUACAGCUAAGGAAAUCUCCCAAAAAGUGGAAGAAAGAAAAGCAACUAAGAAACUUUUAGAAAACUCAGAAAGCCCCAUUUAUCAUGGACUGGGGAGCUGAUUCAACAGUAAAGACCAACAGCUGUUCUUCCAAAGUGUUCAAUUCCCAGCACCCACACGGCAACUCAUGACUGUUUAUAACUCCAGUUCCAGGACUCUGAUACCUUCCUUUGGAUUCUGUGGGCACCAGGUACACACAUGAUACACACACAUAUAUGCAGGUAAAAUACCCAAACACACACACACACAAAAGUAAAUAUUUAAAGUGUCAUACCAUGUUGCCUAAAAUGUAAAAGUUUUAAUUAGCCUUAUCAGAAAGAGAUUGGAGAAAUCUAUAUAUAACUAGUGUUGUUUUUUUUUAAACUGAAAAAUUUGACUAUGCAUACAUGAAAAUUUAGAGUACCCAGCACCACAAUUAAAAAAAAAAAAAA